rnacentral:rRNA from 1 species
GACGAACGCUAGCGGCGUGCUUUAUGCAUGCAAGUCGAACGGGCUCCGCAAGGAGUCAGUGGCGAAUGGGUGAGUAACACGUUAGUAACCUAUCUUUCAGUGGGGAAUAAUACGCCGAAAGGUGGACUAAUACCGCAUGUGGUUCUUGUACACAAGUGUGAGAACUAAAGUCGCAAGACGCUUGAAGAGGGGCUUGCGUCCGAUUGGCUAGUUGGUGAGGUAACGGCCCACCAAGGCGACGAUCGGUAGCUGGUUUGAGAGGACGACCAGCCACAAUGGAACUGAGACACGGUCCAUACUCCUACGGGAGGCAGCAGCAAGGAAUAUUGGGCAAUGGACGAAAGUCCGACAGAGCAAUACCGCGUGAGGGAUGAAGGCCUACGGGUUGUAAACCUCUUUUCUCAAGGAGGAAGAUCUGACGUUACUUGAGGAAUAAGCAUCGGCUAACCCUGUGCCAGCAGCCGCGGUAAGAC